AGAGUUUGAUCAUGGCUCAGAUUGAACGCUGGCGGCAGGCCUAACACAUGCAAGUCGAACGGAAACAUGUCUAGCUUGCUAGAUGAUGUCGAGUGGCGGACGGGUGAGUAAUACUUAGGAACAUGCCUUUGGGAGGGGGAUAACUAUUGGAAACGAUAGCUAAUACCGCAUGAAGUCUACGGACCAAAGGGGGGAGCUUGCUCCUCUCGCCCAAAGAGUGGCCUAAGCGAGAUUAGCUUGUUGGUGAGGUAAAGGCUCACCAAGGCGACGAUCUCUAGCUGUUCUGAGAGGAAGAUCAGCCACACUGGGACUGAGACACGGCCCAGACUCCUACCGGGAGGCAGCAGUGGGGAAUAUUGCACAAUGGGGGCAACCCUGAUGCAGCCAUGCCGCCUGUCUGAAGAAGGCCUUCGGGUUGUAAAGCACUUUCAGUUGUGAGGAAAGGGAGUUGGUUAAUACCCAAUUUCUGUGACGUUAGCAACAGAAGAA
rnacentral:rRNA from 1 species